AAGAAAUGCAAAAAGGCAGAAUGGUUGUCUGAGGAGGCCUUACAAAUAGCUGUGAAUAGAAGCGAAGCGAAAGGCAAAGGAGAAAAGGAAAGAUAUACCUAUUUAAUGCAGAGUUCCAAAGAAGAACAAGGAGAGAUAAGAAAGCCUUCCUCGGUGAUCACUGCAAAGAAAUAGAGGAAAACAAUAGAAUGGGAAAGACUAGAGAUCUCUUCAAGAAAAUUAGAGAUACCAAGGGGACAUUUCAUGUAAAGAUGGGCUUGAUAAAGGACGGAAAUGGUAUGGACCUAACAGAAGCAGAAGAUAUUAAGAAGAGGUGGCAAGAAUACACAGAAGAACUGUACAAAAAAGAUCUACGAGACCCAGGUAACCACGAUGGAGUGAUUACUCACCUAGAGCCAGACAUCCUGGUAUGCAAAGUCAAGUGGGCCUUAGGAAGCAUCACUACGAACAAAGCUAGUAGAGGUGAUGGAAUUCCAGUUGAGCUAUUUCAAAUCCUAAAAGAUGAUGCUGUGAAAGUGCUGCACUCAAUAUGCCAGCAAAUCUGGAAAACUCAGCAGUGGCCUCAGGACUGGAAAAGGUCAGUUUUCAUUCCAAUCCCAAAGAAAGGCAAUGCCAAAGAAUACUCAAACUACCGCACAAUUACACUCAUCUCACAGGCUAGUAAAGUAAUGCUCAAAAUUCUCCAAGCCAGACUUCAACAGUAUGUGAACUGUGAACUUCACAUGUUCAAGCUGGAUUUAGAAAAGGCAGAGGAACCAGAGAUCAAAUUGCCAACAUCCAUUGGAUCAUCGAAAAAGCAAAAGAGUUCCAGGAAAAUACCUACUUGUGCUUUAUUGACUGUGCCAAAGACUUUGACUGUGUGGAUCACAACAAACUGUGGAAAAUUCUUCAACAGAUGGGAAUAUCGGACCAACUGACCUGCUUCUUGAGAAAUCUGUAUGCAGGUCAGGAAGCAACAGUUAGAACUGGACAUGGAACAACCAGCUGGUUCCAAAUAGGGAAAGGAGUAUGUCAAGGCUGUAUGUUGUCACCCUGCUUAUUUAACUUAUAUGCAGAGUACAUCAUGAGAAACGCAGGGCUGGAUGAAGCACAAGCUGGAAUCAAGAUUGCCGGGAGAAAUAUCAAUAACCACAGAUAUGCAGAUGACUCCACCCUUUUGGCUGAAAGCAAAGAAGAACUAAAGAGCCUCUUGAUGAAAGCAUAAGAGGAAAGUGAAAAAGUUGGCUUAAAGCUCAGCAUUCAGAAAACGAAGAUCAUGGCAUUUGGUCCCAUCACUUCAUGGGAAAUAGAUGGGGAAACAGUGGAAACAGUGACAGACUUUAUUUUUGGGAGGCUCUAAAAUCACUGCAGAUGGUGUCUGCAGCCAUGAAAUUAAAGGAUGCCUGCUCCUUGGAAGAAAAGUUUUGACCAACCUAGACAGCAUAUUAAAAAAGUAGAGACAUUACUUUGGCAACAAAGGUUUGUCUAGUCAAGGCUAUGGUUUUUCAAGUAGUCAUGUAUGGAUGUGAGAGUUGGACUAUAAAGAAAGCUGAGCGCGGAAGAAUUGAACUGUGCUUUUGAACUGUGGUGUUGGAGAAGACUCUUGAGAGUCCCUUGGUCUGCAAGGAGAUUCAACCAGUCCAUCGUAAAGGAAAUCAGUCCUGAAUAUUCAUUGGAAGGACUGAUGCUGAAGCUGAGCCUCCAAAACUUUGGCCACCUGAUGCGAAGAGUGACUCAUUGGAAAAGACCCUGAUGCUGGGAAAGAUUGAGGGCGGGAGGAGAAGGGGAUGAUAGGAUGAGAUGGUUGGAUGGCAUCACCGACUCAAUGGACAUGAGUUUGAGUAAACUCUGGGAGUUGGCGAUGGACAGGGAGGCCUGGCCUGCUGCCGUCCAUGGGGUCGCAAAGAGUCUGACACGUCUGAGCAGCUAACUGAAGCAUAGUAUUCUUAUGUUUCACAAACUGCUAGCUUUCACUUGUUACCUUUGUGAAAAGUGUAUUGGUGUAAAUUAUUAGCAAUCACUGACUUUUAUAUAGGUAGUGUCUAUCUUAUAAAUGAAUUGUUUAAAAAAGAGUGGGUUAGAGGCUGGGGGUGGACGAAAUGGGGAGUUAAAAAAAUAGGGAAUUUGGGAUGAGGAGCCUCCACAUCACCCCCCCACACCCUCCCGUAAGUCAUUAAAAUGGGUGUUUAGCUUAUUAGGUCUGGCAAUAAAAAUUGUUUGUAACCUGUUAUAUCAGAAUAUACUGCAAUCACCCUUUAUAACACUGGAGAUUCAUUCAUCCUGUUGCUAUCCUCUCUUAGGGAACUAAGUCUACCCAAAAUCUAGGCCUUUGUGAGUUCCAUGACCUGGGACAGGAGAGUAGGAAUUAGAUAGGGUGAUGCUUGGGGAGGAAUGAAUGAGUUCGGGUUUAGAAAAAAGAGAAAUAGCAAUAGAAUGAGCUUAAGGUGCCGAAGAAUUGAUGCGUUUGAACUGUGGUGUUGGAGAAGACUCUUGAGAGUCCCUUGGACUGCAAGGAGAUCCAACCAGUCCAUUCUGAAGGAGAUCAGCCCUGGGAUUUCUUUGGAAGGAAUGAUGCUAAAGCUGAAACUCCAGUACUUUGGCCACCUCAUGUGAAGAGUUGACUCAUUGGAAAAGACUCUGAUGCUGGGAGGGAUUGGGAGCAGGAGGAGAAGGGGCCGACAGAGGAUGAGAUGGCUGGAUGGCAUCACUGACUCGAGGGACGUGAGUCUGAGUGAACUCCAGGAGUUGGUGAUGGACAGGAAGGCCUGGCGUGCUGCAAUUCAUGGGGUCUCAAAGAGUCAGACGCAACUGAACUGAACUGAAGGUGCUUUUAUUCCUUCCAUAUGUUUCUACUCUGCAGUACUGGGACAGGGUAAGAGAGGGAGCCAGGAAAUUGGAUUUUCUUUCCCUUCCUUUCAAGUACUUUCCUCUUUUACUAGUCCCUUUCACAGGAUCUUGAUACCUGGGUUUCAGGUGCUUUGAGAUGAAUUACGACUUGAAGGAGAUCACCAAGAGGGCUGAGUAUGACAAUAUCUGUAAUUAUUAGGGAAACUAGGGAUAUAAAAUGGAAAAGAAGAUUUCCAGUGGUAAGACAGAGAACCAUCUUUCUGUCAAGUUUUUAUAGUUUGUUCUCUUUUUGAGGGGGGAGUCAACUGAGGCGGGCAGUGUUGAGGGCAUUUUUAGCAUUGUUUGGGGGGAGAUUCUGGUAACGUCUUAGCUCUAUGUGUACUUUUUAAAAGAGUACUCUAACCAUUCUUUCCUGAAGUGAAAACAUACACUAAGGCUCUGAUUUAAAGAGAGAAUGUUCUGUGUAUUGUAUCUCAGUUGGUUUAAAGGUAUCUGUGCUGGUCUCACUUGAAGUGGUAGCAAUAAUUCUCUUCCUAUUUGAUCCCAUGGUGGAGCAAACCAAAGUUGACUAUAGAGCCGUUGUCCUUCAGACAUGUCUAAAUUUCUCAGUCUAUUUAUGAGCAUCAACAAACACUUUGUGCAUACUCCUGCCAUGGGUUGAAUGGGUCUAUUUUCCUUUAAUUUAGUUUAAAACUAGUAACGGAAUUCCUGAGGUUUUGAGAGGAAUAGUGUUGGCAAACUUAGUUUUGAAACUAAAGGCAAAUUAAGAUACCAAGCAAAACAGAAGGAGACUAUUACUUCAGAAAGGGAUCUUAAAACUGCUGACAUUUGCAAACUCAGUGUCUUAUAUUUGUAUAAACUUUAGAUAGGAACGACUGUUUUUCUAAAAUUGUUGGUUUAAAAAAAAUUGUUAAAUUUGUGCAUUUUAAAAGUGCUUCUAACACACUUUGGGUAUGCUUGACCUCAGCUUUUCAGCAGCAUAUUCAGACAGUUGAGCAUCAUCCUUUUUGGCCUUAUUCUGUCUCAGACCAUUUAAAAUAGUUAAAAUGGAUUGUGGAUGUCAGGAAUUUGGUAAACUUCUAUUAAAAUCUAAUGUGUUUUUAAAAAUUUCUUAAAGUGACCUUUGAACCUGUGAAAAUAUACUACCAUCAUCUGAAUUAUGAAAUUUAGCUGAGUACUGCUAAGGUGACAAAUGAUAUCACUUGUUGUUUUGACAUUUGUUCUUUUAAGUGUAUUGUACCAUUGCCCUUUGGAAGAUACUAGCAGCAGGUACUCUGAAGGAUUAUACUAAUUAAACACAGGCCUUUCCCUGAUUAAAUCUGUUUAAUUCUAAUUUUUCAUGCAUCUCACUAAUACUCAUUUGUGACUUCAGCUGUUCAUGUGAAUUUUACCCAGGUGCUUUUUUGAGUACCUAUUGUUAAAUCUCUCUACAUAUUUUGUUUUGUUGUUAGAUAUCUCUUACUAUUUAAAAACUUCUUCAUGACAUGAGUUAUGUUUUUUUAUAUUCUUUGGUAAUUUUCCACUGUGCAAUGCAAUGACUGCUUUAUUAUGUUGGGUAGAUAACUUAGAGCUUAUUUGCCCAUUUGGUCAUUUAACAGAUGUUUACUCAGUGCUUACUUUGUUGUAGAGGCUGAGUAUACCAGCUCCAAUAAAGUAAGAACUCUGGGGUCCAUUGGCUUGCAGAGAGUUGGACACGACUAAGCGACUGAACUGAACUGAACUGCCUUCAAGUUGCUUAGACUUUGAUUGGAGAUUCAGAGAAUAAAUCAGUUACAGUACCAUGUGUCAUUCAUAUUUUGAAGUAAUCUUUGAGAGGUCCAGGGCUCUAUCUCUGAUAGAGAAGAUUUUUGUACUCACUCUGAAGAAUGGAAACUAAACAUUUGUAAAUUGUCUAAAGGUCCCUAAAUCUUUUUUUUUUUUUAAAGGUCCCUGAAUCCUUCAACAUGAGCGUGUUAUCCAUUUUAUACAUGAGGAAAGAAGUUAUAUAAUUUGCUAAAAGUCAUUUAGGUGAUAAAUUAUAAAGGUGGGAUUCUAAUUUAGCCUUCUUCCUUUUAUACCAAGGUUUCUUAACUUUAGCACUAUUUUCAUUUUGGGCCAGCUUAAUCUUUGUUGUGGGAAAUUCUGCUAUGCACUGUAGGAUGUUUAGCAGUAUUCCUGGCUGAGCUCCAGGGCAGGAGUCUAAGUAAAGAAAGGAGGCACCAGGAGCGCAAAAUUUAAGGCAUCACUUACUCUCAGGAUCUUUUAAGUGCUAACCCAACUUUGAAUCCUCACAACAUCUGAGAAAGUUCUCCCACACCAGCCUGUUGAUUUUAGGUCUUCAUUCAGUAUUGCCUGGUAACAGUAUGAGGACUAAAUCCCCUAGGCAUUUAGGUGUUCCUUGGGAGCUGAAGAGCAGUAAUGAGCAGGGACUUUUUGCCUAAUUUGUCUCUCUUCUCAGUAUAUAAACUCUUUGGCAAAAGUGACUGUUAAGAAAUGGCAUUCAUAAGUGCUAAGUAAAUACCUUCCAUGUGGUACAGAGCUUAGAAUCUUUAGGUGAUACCUUACAAAACAAGGAUAUCAGUUGCAUUGAAGUAGUGAAAACUUAGAGCAGAAAUGGUACAUUGAAUGUCCUCAGUCUUAAUUUGUCCUGGUGGUCUAGAACUUAACUGCUGGUAUUGAUCAGCUGGACUGUAGCUUGCAUGCUAAACACAGUCUAGGUAGUUCUCUAGAAUGGAGUCUUUAAAAAAUGAAGUAUGUGAUACAAACUUGAAUUUUAGGAGUACUGAGCAAUAGUGCCUAACAAUUAUUAAUAAUAUGCUAGGUUUGGAGUCUUAAGUAGUUAAACUUAUAUUUAACUUUCUGAUAAAGCAUUACUAUUUGACCUGUGAUAAUAUAAUUUUUUUCUUUUCUUUUUGUAUUGGUAGGAUUGGGGCUAGGUUACAGAAGUCCCUAAAAAGCUGGCAGAGUAGGCCUUAGCCCACGGGGAGUUUGUUUAUUUUUAAAAAAUUAUUCAGUUCAAACAUCUCUACCAUGUCAUAACUAGUCUAGUCAUGUUGGAGUUAUUGAGUUCCUUUGACUCUUUCUGGUGAUCAUGGUGCCUAAAGGUAACAGAUAAAUUUGAAAGAGUCAAACUUUUCGUGAGUUUACUUGAAAUUUUAUAAUGUAUUCUCCAACAAAUCCCUACAGGAGUGGGAGGAAAGGGAAUGCCGUUUAUUUUGCUAGCUGCUUUUUAAUGGGACUCAAUACUGCAAAUCUUUCACCACUUCUUUCUAGGGUUAUAAUACAGAUGAUUUAAAAACAAAAUCAAACCUGAAAAAAAAAAGCCACCCACAUUAUGAUAGCUGUAUUUUCAUUAAUUCUUUGAAGGUGUUAACAUAAGAAUCUUUUAAAAGGGACAGUAUAGCUUCAUAGAUGUUUAAAGAAAAGAAAAAAGUGAAGUCGCUCAGUUGUAUCUGACUCUUUGCAACCCCAUGGACUGUAGCCUACUAGGCUCCUCUGUCCAUGGAAUUUUCCAGGCAAGAGUACUGGAGUGGGUUGCCUUUUCCUUCUUCAGGGGAUCUUCCUGACCCAGGGAUUGAACCCAGGUCUCCCGCAUUGCAGGCAGACAUUUUACCAUCUGAGCCACCAGGGAAGCCCAUAGAUGUUUAGACACAAAGAUAGGAAAAUUGAUUACCUUUGUGUUCAACAAUUGUUCUUGUUCAGUUGCUCAGUUGUGUCCGGCUCUUUGCAACCCCAUGGACUGCAGCAUGCCCGGCUUCCUUGUCCUUUACUGUCUCCUGAAGUUUGCUCAAAUUCAUGUCCACUGCGUUGGUGAUGCUAUCUGCCCAUCUAAUCCCCUGUCACCCUCUUCUCCUUUGGCCUUCAGUCUUUCCCAGCAUCAGGGUCUUUUCCGGUGAGUCAGCUCUUUGCAUCAGGUGGCCAGAGUUUUGGAGCUUCAGCAUCAGUCCUUGCAGUGAAUAUUCAGGGUUGAUUUCCUUUAGUAUUGACUACUUAAUUUCCUUGCUGUCCAAGGGACUCUCAAGAGUUUUCUCCAGCACCACAAUUAAAAGCAUUAAUUCUUUGACUCUCAGCCUUCUUUAUGGUCAGACUCUCACAUCUGUACAUGACUGUUGGAAAAACCAUAGCUUUGACUAUAUGGACCUUUGUCGGCAGAGUGACGGCUCUGCUUUUUAAUACACUGUCUAGGUUUGUCGUGGCUUUACUUACAAGAAGCAAGCAUCUUUCAAUUUCUUGGCUGCUGUCACCGUCUGCAGUGGUUUUGGAGCCCAAGAAGAUAAGAUCUGUCACUGCUUCACUGCCAUGAAGUGAUGGGACCACAUGCCAUGAUCUUAGUUUUUUGAAUGUUGAUUUUUAAGCCAGCU
ensembl:lncRNA